rnacentral:rRNA from 1 species
UACGUAGGGUGCGAGCGUUGUCCGGAAUUAUUGGGCGUAAAGAGCUCGUAGGCGGUUUGUCGCGUCUGCUGUGAAAACUCGGGGCUUAACUCCGGGCCUGCAGUGGGUACGGGCAGACUAGAGUGCGGUAGGGGAGACUGGAAUUCCUGGUGUAGCGGUGAAAUGCGCAGAUAUCAGGAGGAACACCGGUGGCGAAGGCGGGUCUCUGGGCCGAUACUGACGCUGAGGAGCGAAAGCGUGGGGAGCGAACAGG